AGGAUCAUUACCGUUGCCAUACAA
rnacentral:rRNA from 4 species